AGAAUCAACGCUGGCGGCGUGCCUAACACAUGCAAGUCGAACGAGAAAGUGGGAGCAAUCCCACGAGUAAAGUGGCGCACGGGUGAGUAACACGUGACUAACCUACCCUUGAGUGGGGGAUAACCUAGGGAAACCUGGGCUAAUACCGCAUAAUACCUACGGGUCAAAGGAGCAAUUCGCUUAAGGAGGGGGUCGCGGCAGAUUAGUUAGUUGGCGGGGUAAUGGCCCACCAAGACAGUGAUCUGUAUCCGGCCUGAGAGGGCGCACGGACACACUGGAACUGAAACACGGUCCAGACUCCUACGGGAGGCAGCAGUGGGAAUUUGCGCAAUGGGGGAAACCCUGACGCAGCAACGCCGCGUGGAGGAUGAAGCCCCUUGGGGCGUAAACUCCUUUCGAUCGGGAAGAUAAUGACGGUACCGGAAGAAGAAGCCCGGCUAACUUCGCGCCAGCAGCCGC
rnacentral:rRNA from 1 species